GGCUAGGGGUCCAAUUGGAGCUGUAGCUGCCGGCCUACACCACAGCCACAACACCACCAGAUCUGAACCAUGUCUGCAACCUACACCACAGCUCACGGCAAUGCCGGAUCCUUAACCCACCGAGCAAGGCCAAGGAUCGAACCUGCAACCUCAUGGUUCCUAGUCGGAUUUGUUAACCACUGAGCCAUGGCAGGAGCUCCUACAAGGGUGUUAAUGUGCUCUUUUGCAGGUAGCAAAUAGUAAGUAAUAAUUUUUAUAAGCUGUAAGCAAAUCCUGCUCAGUAGAAUGUCUCAGACUCACUCUGUAUUGUUUCUUUAUGUUGCUGGCCUGGAACUGGGAGCAGCCCCCUUAGUUUUUGGACCCUGAGACUUCACAUUGAGCGCAGCAUUUGCCUCAUCCUUUUACCUUCUCAUUUCCUGGGUUCCACACACCGAAAGCCUCUGAGUAGAUACAAACUACUGUAUAUAAAGUAAAUAAACAAUAAGGCCCAACUGUAUAUUCAAUACCUUGUAAUAAACUAUAAUGGAAAAGAAUCUGAAAAAGAAUACACACACACACAUACACAUAAUGAAUCACUUUUCUGUUGACAAGAAACUAACACAACAUUAUAAGUCAAUUAUUCUUCAAUUUUAAAAAGGCUCUGAUUUAGCAUAUUGCUCGAUGCUUGAGAAUCUUUCUGAUUAAUCUCAUUGGGAAGCCAUGCCAAGAAAACAAGGAAGGGAGAAGAAAGGAAACAGAAGCCAAGUGGGUCUUCUUACAAUGAAAAAAAGUCCAGAGAUUUAAAAAAAGGUUUUUUUUCUUUUUCUUUUUUGGCUACUCCCAUGUCAUAUGGAGGUUCCUGGACCAGGGAUCGAAUCCAAGCUGGAGCUGUGACCCAAGCUGCAGCUGCAGCCAUUGCACCAGGCCAGGAGUUCCCAUUGUGGCUCAGCUGGUUAUGAACGUAACUAGUAUCCAUGAGGAUGCGGGUUCAAUCCCUGGCCUGUCUCAGUGGGUUAAGAUCCAGCAUUGCCUCGAGAUGUGGUGUAGGUCGCAGACGUAGCUCGCAUCUGGCAUUGCUGUGGUUGUGGCAUAGGUUGUCAGCCACAGCUCCAAUUCAACCCUUAGCCUGGGAACUUCCAUGUGCCGCAGGCUCGGCCCUAAAAUUCCAAAAAACAAAAAAAAGAAAGAAAACGUUUCAGAUUUGUGACCUUUUGUGCACAGGCUCCAAUCUAGAAAUCUUCUUUCACAACCUUGUAUCCCAGUCAUGCCAGAGUGGAUGUAGAUGUCAAACAGCCUAAGAGCAGACAUCUGUCACCGCAGGCUGUCCUGAAUCCAGGUCCCUCUUCUAACUGGUCUUGGAUUACCUUUCAGGAAUUACAUCUCCUCCACUGAGUGCAGUUUUAGUGAGCAGGCAAACUUAGGUGCUUGCAUCCUACCAUCAAAUCUGGAGAGGGGAGAGCCUUCCCGGUCUGAACUAAUACAGCUAGGGCCUGGGGCCUGAGGCUUGUGCUGGGCCAGUUGAGAAAAUUCUCCCUGGCUACAGACACUUAAGGAGUGAAGAUAGUUCCCCCCACCUCCCCCGACCCCCACCCCUUUUUUUUUCUCAUUUUUGGCCACCCCACAACAUACGGAGUUCCUGGGCAGGGAUCAGCUCUGAGCUGCAGUCGCCACCCAAGCUGCAGCUGCAGCAGCACUGGAUCCUUAACCCACUGUCCCGAGCUAGUGCUCCCAAGUCACCGCCAAUCCCAUUGUGCCACAGUGGGAACUCCAUUUUUCCCAUUUUUAAAAAUUGUGGUGAAAUACAUAUAACAUAAAAUAGACCAUCUUAGCCAUUUUUCAGUGUACAGUUCAGUGGUAUUAAAACCAUUCACAGUGUUGGGCAGCUAUCAGUAGCACCCAUGUCCAUAACCCCUUGCAUCUUGUUAAACUGAAACUCUAUACCCUAUAAACAUUACCUCCCCACCCCCCUUCCCCAUCCCCUGGCAACUACCAUUCUAAUUUCAAACUGGUUUUAUGACUUCGACUACUCUAAGUAAGGAUGGUUCUUCACAGCCAUCAUGAAGAGCUGCUUGGGUUCCUACAUACUGAUUCUGUGAGCCUGAACUUAGAGUUUCCUGUUGAUUUUAUGAGCCCCUAAUGUCUUUCCAAUACAUAUUUCCUUUCUCCUAAAUUAGUCAUUUCAUUCAUUUUCUUCCCUUCCUUCCUUCCUCUUUCUUUUUUUCUUUUUCUUUCUUUUGUGUGUGUGUGUGUCUUUUUAGGGCUGCACCCAGGACAUGCGGAAGUUCCCAGGCUAGGGGUUGAAUUGGAGCUGCAGCUGCCGGCCUACACCACAGUCACAGCAACUCUCAGAUCCAAGCUUAUCUGCAACCUACACAACAGCUCCUGUCAAUGCCAGAUCCUUAACCCACGGAGCAAGGCUACUGAACUUCAUAGAUAUAGGCAGGUUUUUUAACCGCUGAGCCAUGACUGGAACUCCUCAUUCAUUUUUUUAAAUUAUAGGAAAAAUAGAUGUUCAUAGCAGAUGAACAAUUUAGUAAUAGAAAUUCAGUACACUGAAGGUUGAGGUUCUUUCCCUAGGAAAACCACUGUUAACGGUUUGGUAUGUAUCCUUACAAAUAUUUUCUAUGUACAUAUAUAGAGAGAUGGACUGAUCCUCCAGAUAAUUUAGAAUUUAUGGGAGAAUGGAAGGGAUUUUUACCAAAAAGGGGAUCAUACUAAAUAUAUUCUUAUAUAUAUUAUUUUUUUCACUCGAUAUAGCAUAAAUGUCUUUCUUGUCAGUACAUAGAAAUCUGUCAUUCCUGGAGUUCCCGUCGUGGCGCAGUGGUUAACGAAUCUGACUAGGAACCAUAACCCACUGAGCAAGGCCAGGGAUCCUUAACCCACUGAGCAAGGCCAGGGAUCAAACCCACAACCUCAUCGUUCCUUCGGGGAUUCGUUUCCGCUGCUCUGCGAUGGGAACUCCUAUCAGUUAUGUAUUGCAAUUAUUCUCUCCAAAUUAGUGAUUAGUCUAAUUUUAGUUUUGGUGUCUUUGGUUGUUGUAUAUGUUCUUUAUAAUUUCUAUCAUUUUUAUCUUUAUGGCUCCUGAUCACAUUGAAGAAAGGUCUUCCUGCCCCCAAGCUAUAAAUGAACAUAGUUCCAUGCAUUUCCUCCUAGGGCAGCAGCACGGUGCAGUGGUCCUCUGUAAGAAGUAGAGGUCCCGGAGCCAGAUUUCUUAGCCUCAGAUCCUAGCUCUGGUCCCUAUCAGUUGCAUGACCCUUAAUCUCUCUGCCUUAGUUUUCUCACCAGUAAAAUGGGUGGAGACUGUGGUGAGGAUUAAGUGAGUGAACAUAUAUGCACAGUAUUUAGGAUGGUGCUGAGCACACAGUAAAUAAUGUGUGUGCUGUUAUCUAGUUCCUUUUCAGUUUUUUUAACAUUUACAUUUUUGAUAUACCUUUCUUUGCAUGGUGAUUUGAGUCUAUUUUUUUCUCAGACAGAUAGCUAGUUUUAUAAUACAGUCUGUUUCCCCACUGAUUUGAAAUGUUAUCUUUAGGAUAGAUUAAGGUGCAGGCUAUCUCUAGAAGUGCCCUAAGCGGUCCCAGCCUUAGCACUUUGUUGACUCCUCGGGAACCUGUUAGAUAGAAAUUCGAAGUUGAAUUUAAUAAUGUUCAGACCCUUGAUCUCUCUCCUAUGAGCCCCACCCAAACAUAGUUUGGAAGGCCACCCCAGUUGCUCUACCUAAGGACAAGCCUGCCAAGGGCUGUGUUCUUGAAAAAGCAGAUCUAAUCUAAAAAUGUGUAUACCACAAGGUAUUUCCUCUGAGAUAAUAAUGCUAAGAGAGGAAGAGAACUCAGUCGUUCUGAGGAUGUAGGAGCAUGUAGAGUCUAUGCAUGAAGAUGGGAUAUGUUUAGCCAUCAAGGGUGACUGGAGUUAGUGGAGGGCUUCACAAGGGUAAGAGGGUUAUCUACAUUAUAGAUUUUGGUGUACACUGGAAGGCCGAGAACCAGAGAUUCAACUUCAGCUUCUCCUUUAAGACUUACUCACAAACACAACUGCUUAAGGUGUGCUGCCAUCUCAUGGCCAAACCUGUGUUACAAUCAAAUGACAAGCAGUUAGAUCAAAAAGUGAAGCAGCUAUAGGAACAUGAUUAUUGAGGCAGAAUAGUAACUUGGGUAGUCAGUGCAGGAGCAUGGGCUUCGAUGCAUUCUUUGAUAGGGCUAUUGAUUGACAUUUGUGGCUUAAGGGCUCCAGGGAGUAACAUCCCCACAGGCCCACAGGGAGUGUACCUACGCCCAGAGGGACAUUUUAAUCUCUAAUCCCCUGUGACUCAGUUUACGGGAAGAGAAGGGCAAAGAAACCAUGAGACUUAUGGGACAUUUCCACCCCUAAGUCCCCUGUUGGACAAGGACUGAUAAGGUAACUGGGCAAGGCCAAUGGGAGAAAACCACAUCUUUCUGGACCCCAUGUUGGUACCCCCCCAUCUUUAAGGGAUACAAACCCCUAUAAGACAAUAGGGGGGGCUCUUCUCCCCCUCCCAGCUGUCCUGGGAGCUGUUUGCUUUCCUAAAAUAAAGACUUUGCUUGCUU
rnacentral:lncRNA from 1 species